rnacentral:rRNA from 1 species
UAAUACAGAGGUGGCAAGCGUUGUUCGGAUUUAUUGGGCGUAAAGGGUCCGUAGGCGGUUUGAAAAGUCAGAUGUGAAAGCCCACAGCUCAACUGUGGAACUGCAUUUGAAACUUUCAGACUAGAGUAUGAGAGGGGUUAAGGGAAUUCCCGGUGUAAGGGUGAAAUCUGCAGAGAUCGGGAGGAACACCAGUCGCGAAGGCGCUUAACUGGCUCAUUACUGACGCUCAGGGACGAAAGCUAGGGUAGCAAACGGG